UCUUUCGGUAGGUCUCGGGGUAGCGAUACUAGUGGUGGGAGAAUUGGACACUUCUUAAUGGCAGGCCAAACGCUGUCAUCAUUGCCUUGGGUUCUCUCCGAUACUGGGCUCUUGGCGGACUGUUUUGACAACUGCCAAAUGAAUAAAGCAAGCAUAACAACAGCAAAGACCAAAAUAACCAUGCUAAUAAUCUGCCAAAUUCUUUUACCCCUCCGCUCCUGAAGAAAUCCAGGUUCAGGGACGAGGUUUUCGGCGCUAACCUUGUUGUUUGCCAUGUCUUGAUCGAUAGCUUGGCUUUUGCUCUUUUCGUGAGGUUUGACUGUUUGGCCUGGGGGAGCUUCAGCCCUCGUAACGGUCGGCGUCUCAGAGUGGGAAUCUUGGAAUGCACACUGAAUCUCAGUGCUGUCACAUUUGUAUUCUUUCAUCGAGGCUAACAGGGAAGGAAGGAUGCCGUCCCCGUUGGUUCGAUAUAAGACGAUGCCAAAUCACAAAAGAGCUGUUGCGGCCUUGCAGAUAUAUUACAAAUAUGGACAGCUCUAUUGACCUUCGUCGCCGACGCCGUUGAUGGAAUAUUAUCGUAAAUUUUAAACAAAAAACCCCAAUGUAGUUCUGAUAGACUAAUAUAUUGAUGUUAUUUA